AUUGUAACUGCCAUUAUAUAUUCCAUUUAUCACCUCCCUGUCUCUGCAAUAAUUCCCAAAAACACCCAUAAACCCAUCCUUUAGUAUUCGCAAUUUAUUGGUAUGAUUUAUUUAUAUAUGCAUUGCGUAGGAUCUAUUUAAAGAUAGAAGUGAUCUAUAUUAUGACCUAUUUAAAAGAAGAAGUGCUUCAAAUAGAGAUUUUCUUAAUUCUCAUGACUCGAAUCUAAAACAUCAUUAAUUAGCGAGGGAGAAAUUCUACUUAUUCUAUCACAUCCCGUAGUGUUAGUGAAACUUAUGAAUAGGCCGGAAGAUGUAGAAAAAUUUAGGGUAUAUUUGGUAUAACGGUAAAAAAAUAUUUUCUUGAAAAAUAAGUAAUAAUCUUAGUCAAUUUCGAUUUUUGGUAGGACAAUUAAGGAAAAUGACUUCUCAAGAGUAAUCAUAAAUAAUUUACAUCACACCUCCUUCUUCAUACACUCCCGGAAGGGGUGUAUUAAGGGAGUUUUUCCAAUUAAAGGAGAACCGAAACGAGAUUAUAUUUAUUAAAAAUUCUGAGUCGCCACUUGGAAGAUUUAUGGUGUCCCAAAUCACCGAUUUAAAUCCCGAAUCGAGAAAAGGAUUGACCCUGUAUUACAGCACGCGAAUCAGAAAUUCGGGUAAGAAAUUCUGUUAAUCCGGGAGAAGGUGUUAGGCAUUCCCGAGUUCCGUGUAUCUAGCACGGUCUCUCAACUGUAAUAGUUGGCAUAAUUAUCUGAUUUUGAAAACAUUUUGAACCUAUGUGCAAUUUUACUUUUUAACCGCUUUUAAUCAUUUUAAGAAAAAUUACAAUGUCAUUUAAAAUACGUCUUGAACCACGUCAUAUGAAUGCACCUGCAGCUCUCGACAAAUUUUAUCUAACAUUGUUGAGAUUUGAAUUUGGGUCACAUAAAUGCGCAUCCAAAUUUAGGAAAGUAAUUUUUAAAUAGUGCACCUAAUGCAAUUACACAUUUUAAAUUUGCGAGGGCCAUGAAAAAUUUAACCAAAUAGUAUACCUCGAAUUAUUCUAAAAGAUUGCACUUGAGUAAAGCAAAUUUCGAAUGUUCAUAUUUAAUGAUCAACUAAAAAAAGAAAACAAAAUAUUUUGAUCUAAACCUAGAGCUAUUAAACAAGUACCUCUACAGUGGCUGCGAUCCAAUUCCAUGGUUCAAAAUUCUUUCUUGAGUCCAAUUAAAUCUACCCAGCAAAUUACGUUAAGAACUCUUAGCUAAUAUUUACAUGUGACUUUUAAAAGAGAACAACAUAAAACACAUGGGAACAACUUUUGAUUAAUCAAGAGAGAUUAAAAAAAAACCUUCCAACAUGCUGAAUUCAGGAGAAACGCAACGAGAAUUCAAAAACCAGAAACAAGCCGAGCUAAUAUUUCAACGAGAAUGUAAAACCAGAUAAUCAAAACCAACAAAAAUUAUGAUGAAUUAUUAGUUUCAAUCCAAUCAUAACCGAAAAAUAUCACAAUAAAAAGUAACAUAGGUAUCAGAAUGGACCUUCUUUAGAGAGCUUCAAACAAAUUUAAUUAAAAUGCCAUUAGAGUAUACACCAACGGAACAUGGACUCGGAUCAAAAACCUCCAACGAAAAAGGAAAUUCGAACAUGGACUAUCGUCGACUUCGACGCUCACCGAAAAACUCAAACUAAACCAGAAAAUGGACCCAACAGCCUCCAUAAUAGUAGCUCAUGAUUUUGGAGUUGUUUCGGGCUGUUUCACGUUGCUUUGAUGGCGAAAAUGGUGAGCUUACACAACUGGUUUUGAAGCUAUUUUCAUGGCUGGUUUUGCUGCCUUUUUGGCUGGAGUUCAGAAGUGAUUCAAACUUGAAUGAAGGGGUCGUUUGGGUUCAAGGAAGAUGAUCAUUGGGGAAGGGUCAGUGGUGUUCAAACGGCUGAAGCAAAACUUGAAGGGCAGGCCAUUAUUUUUGGUUUCUCUGUUCAAACGUUGAAGAAGAAGACAUAAUAAAGGGCUCUGUAUUGUGUAUUGCGGCCGUUCUCCUUUUCUUAGUCUAGGUCUAC
rnacentral:lncRNA from 1 species